ensembl:rRNA 5S_rRNA 5S ribosomal RNA
UUCAGCCCCCAUACCACCCUGAAUGUGCCCAAUCCCAUCUGAUCUCAGAAGCUAAGCAGGUUCGGGCCUGGUUAGUUCUUGGAUGAGA